rnacentral:lncRNA from 1 species
AUGGUGAUGAUGAAUCUGAAGACCACUGUCAAGCUACAGUGUGUUAAUCAACAUGUACAGAUGUUUCUCUUCAAUGACUACCAUUUACAUGUCAUGUCCCCUGUUCUUAUACAUGUCAUGUCCCCUGUUCUACAUGCAGUCCCCUGUUCUUACAUGUUCAUGGUCCCCUGUUCUUACAGUCAUGUCCCCUGUUCCUUUACAUGUCAUGUCCCCUGUUCUUACAAUGUCAUGUCCCCUGUUCUUACAUGUCAUGUCCCCUGUUCUUACAUGUGCCAUUUGUCCCCUGUUCUACAUGUCAUGUCCCCUGUUCUUACAUGUCAUGUCCCCUGUUUCUUAAUGCAUGUCCCCUGUUCUUACAUGUCCAUGUCCCCUGUUCUUUACAAUACAUGUCAUGUCCCCCUGUUCUACAUGUCAUGUCCACUGCUCAGUCUGUCCCCUGUCUUACAUGCAUGUCCCCUGUUUCUUACAUGUCAUUGUCCCCUGUUCUUACAUGUCAUGUCCCCUAGUGUCCUUACAUGUCAUGUCCCCUGUUCUUACAUGUCAUGUCCCCUGUUCUCUUAUUCAUGGUCAUGUAUGUCCCUCACUGUUCUUCAUGCCAUGUCCCUGUAUCAUGCCAUGUCCCCUGUUCUACAUGCCAUGUCCCCUGUUCUUACAUGCCAUGUCCCCUGUUCUUACAUGCAUGUCCCUGUUCUUACAUGUCAUGUCCCCCUGUUCUUACAUGUCAGGUCCCCCCCUGUUCUUACAUGUCAUGUCCCCGUUCUUAAUGUCUGUCCCUGUUCUACAUGUCAUGUCCCCUGUUCUUACAUGUCAGUCCCUGUUCUAAAUGCUUUUUUUUUCAGUUGAACGCUUUUUUUCUUUCUUAGGCGUAUUUGUAAGGAUGAGGUAUGGUACUUUUUUUUCUUUCUUAGU